CCUACGGGUGACAGCAGUGAGGAAUAUUGGUCAAUGGCCGAGAGGCUGAACCAGCCAAGUAGCGUGCAGGAUGACGGCCCUACGGGUUGUAAACUGCUUUUAUACGGGAAUAACGCGCCUUACGUGUAGGGCUUUGCAUGUACCGUAUGAAUAAGGACCGGCUAAUUCCGUGCCAGCAGCCGCGGUAAUACGGAAGGUCCGGGCGUUAUCCGGAUUUAUUGGGUUUAAAGGGAGCGUAGGCCGCAUGUCAAGCGUGCUGUGAAAUGUCCGGGCUCAACCCGGGCCUUGCAGCGCGAACUGGCGUGCUUGAGUCCGCGGAAAGCAGGCGGAAUUCGUCGUGUAGCGGUGAAAUGCUUAGAUAUGACGAAGAACCCCGAUUGCGAAGGCAGCUUGCUGCAGCGGAACUGACGCUGAUGCUCGAAAGCGCGGGUAUCGAACAGGAUUAGAUACCCCAGUAGUC
rnacentral:rRNA from 1 species